AUGCCCUGGUUGGUUCCGCCCAGCAGCCCUAUACCUGCCUCCCAUUGGUCGCGUUGCGCAGAGAGCCUUCUGAUUGGUCAGCCACAGGGGCGGCCUCCUAUCCAGAGCGAGCCAAGAGAUGCCUUGAAGUGCAGAGGCCCAGGCCCCCGCGCGGAGAUGCAUCCUUUGCCCUGUGUCCGCGCUGAGGAACCUGGGACUCCUUUUACAAGUCCUGCCUCAGGCUGGCCGCUCGGUGUCCGGGUAGCUGCAAGUUCCGUCUCUGAUCUCCUAGAAGUUCAGAUCCCUCUGCCUGCAAGCGCCGCUGCCAGCUUCCCUCGUCUCCCCCAGCCCGGGGCUGAGCCAUUUCCAGGAUCUCUCUUUGUAUCAUUAAAAAGAAAAAUAGAACAGCUGAUGUUGCCAAACAUGUAUUUAAAGUGACACUCUGGAGUUCAGGGAGUGAAA
rnacentral:lncRNA from 1 species